rnacentral:lncRNA from 1 species
AUUGCAGGGAAACUGAUGGUUUGAAGUUUUUGAAAGUGUUUCAGGUCUAGUUUUUAUAAGCACAUUAUGAGAGUUGCAGAUUGUCUGGGGUUGCUUUGUCGGAGGCUGCUGGGAACAGUUGGGCCCAGAGUAUUUGCUCAGCUUUCCCGUUACAUUAACACACUGAUUAAUCUAUGUAUUAAGAUUCCUUGCAUUGUCAAUGGAUUUGCAAGAGGAUAUGAAAGACACUAAAACUACUUAUCUUUUGAAACUAUAAUAUGUGACUCCUUGAAACUCAAAUCUGUAGAAAGUUUCUAAUUCCACUGGUAUCUGUAAAACCUCUUGAAGAGAGAGACCAGGAGAGUACAUUCUCAGAUACUGAUACUUACUGUUGUCUUCCUUGCUUCACGCAAGGUUGAGUUUCUUUCACAGUAUCAUAUCUUACAAAGUCAGUUCUUCUAAAUGUCCAGUGCCUGUUCCUAGAUCUGCUUCUUGGGGACACACUCAUAACUCUCUUAUCCAGCUAACAAGCUAACUUGUGGAUAGUGUUUACAAAAGUACAGAAGUACUACUUCCAAGGAAAAUGCUCUGCUUCUCAAGGCAUUUGUGAAGACGUCCAGAACAUUUCCCAAAGUGUGACCUUUUCUGGUAUAUUUGUACCAGGUCAGGGUUUUUUGUGUUGUUUUCAAAUAAGUUUGACUAAAGUUUGGCUGACAGUUUUUGUAUACUUGCUUUAAUGUUUAUAAAAUUUUUAUUGAGGAAUAAUUAAGAUAUAGUGUAAUGCACAGAGGCUUAAGUAUUCUUACCUGCUUUAAUUUUGAAACAGAUUUUUAUUGUCAGAAAUUUGAAAGCAUGUGUUUAACACAUGGAUAUAAUUUAGCUUUGUAUGAAUUUUAAAUCCAAGGCAAUUUCCCAAGCAUAAAAGUUGGAGCCAUUUUUCAGAACUUGCUUAUACCACAUUACCAAAUAAUCAGCCUUGAUUCAUUUCUAGACGAAGAGAAUUUUGAAGUAGAAGAUAAAACAAGUCUGCUUCCCAUUUAAGAAAAGGAGAAAGUAACAGUUUGUAAGAAUAUGAGGCAGACUGUAAUUCUCAGCUCCCUUUUCUUCUUAGCCUUAAAAUAAUAUUCUCUUUCUUCUAGUUUGGGAACAUAUAGAGAGAAUUUUCAAACAAGAGGCCAUUUUCAAUUUUUGAAGUUUCAUGCUGAUGAAAGAAGCAAGCUGCAGUAGGUGCCAGUGAGAGGGCUGUAGCCCUCUAGCCAAUGCUAUGGACCUAGAAAACUCUGCAGUUUGCCUCUCCCUCACUUUCAUUCUUAGAGCCUCAUUAAAGGCUUCUUUGGGAGGUUGUUUUCUCCUGUUUUGAAAACUUGUGUAUUUUGCCUCUCCUUUGGCUGCAUCUUCAAAAGAUUCCUUUUGUGCCUAUGAACAUGUGUGAACAUACCAUACCAUGAAUAGUAGGUGUACUGUAUUUUGUUUUAGUUGAAAAAUGAGGAAGAGAAUUUCCUUUCUUCAUACCCUCAGCUUCUGUACUUAUUUGAAUACUUAUAGGGUACAUACAAAUUUGACACUUUUGUGGUAAUGAAAAUAUAUUGGAGCUGAGUUGUAGAUUCCUUAAAGGCCAGCAGGUUGCCAGUGUCCUUUCAUGCUUUUGAAUUCUGAGGGAGGUGAGCAAACAUGGAAACAGUGCUUUAGCCAAAUUCCAUAUGUAAUACCAUUGGGAGAGUAUUGCCUGAAAUAUUCAAGUCAGGGAGAUAAAAUGGUAAUUUUUUUUACAGAAUUUUCCUGGGUAAACAAAUGAGCCAGCCUUCCGCUAUAUACAUUCCAAUUGCCCCAAGCAUCUGCUACAUUUUGUUCUUUGAAGUAUUACCUCUUAACCUUUGUUAAUGGUUUUUGUCUUGUCUUAUACAAGUUUUGAAGAUGAACUCAAUCUUUUCUCAAAUGUCACCUUUUUAUCAAUACUUUUACAUUAAAUUAUAAAAACUGUU